rnacentral:rRNA from 1 species
CCCUUAGAUGUUCUGGGCCGCACGCGCGCUACACUGAUGCAUUCAACGAGUCUAAAACCUGCUCUGAUAGGGGUGGGUAAUCUUUUGAAUGUGCAUCGUGAUUGGGAUAGAUGAUUGCAAUUUUUCAUCUUCAACGAGGAAUGCCUAGUAAACGCAAGUCAUCAGCUUGCAUUGAUUACGUCCCUGCCCUUUGUACACACCGCCUGUCGCUCCUACCGAUUGAAUGAUCCGAUGAAUAUCAUGGAUUGAGGAUUAUAGCAGGUUCGCCUGUCUUGAUCUUCGAGAAGUGAAGUAAAUCUUAUCAUUUAGAGGAAGGAGAAGUCGUAACA